rnacentral:pre_miRNA from 1 species
AGUGGAAUUGCUGGAUCAUAUGGUAAUUGUUUGUUUAACUUUUGGAGGAACUGCCAAACUGUUUUCCACAGUAGCUGUACCAUUUUAUAUUCCCAUCAGCAAU